UUGUGAAUCAAAUAUUCUAGCAUUCAGUUAACAUUCAACAAAGGAAAAGAGAUGUGCAUUACGAUGCACGUUACAAAAUAAUGGGCAUUACAGUAAGCAUAUAGACUGCUGUAAGUGUGUUGAGAUGUUUCAAAACUGAUAUUCUUCUUGGUAUUUGAAAACUUCUUUUGGGGGGGGGGGUCUUAAAACAAUUUAUUGACAGUUCUUGUAUUUAUAAAAUUAAUAUCCCUUCUCAGUAUAGGAGAAUUUUUUUUUAUCCCAGUUCUACUUUGAAAAGUUGGCAAUGUAUUUUAUGGUUCAUGAAUUUGAUAUUGGUAAAAUAGUUGAUUUUCCAAAUGGGCAUGGAAUUUGUAACCAUGGAACAGAAGUUUUGUACUUUGUAUUUGUGUACAAGGCAUUUUACUUUUAUGAAAAGUUAGAUAACACAGUAUUUUGUAAAGAUGCAAUACAUUCUUUUAUGAUUAGCUCUGAUCCAUCAUACUCCAUUCUUUGUAUAUUAACAAAACCUCGGUCAUUUUAUCACUCGGAUUUUGACACUUGGUUUCUAAGUCUUCCACAGAACGUAACAAAAAUCAACAGUGGACAAUUUUCAAUCAAACUGCAUAAUACAGCAGUAUGUGAUGUACUGAUAUUUUGCAUUCUGUAUUUUGUGGGGAUUUUUAAAUGUUCCUUGUUAUUCAUCAAUAAAUUAAAAUG
rnacentral:sRNA from 1 species